CAGCCGCCGCGGGAAUACGUAGGGGGCUAGCGUUGUUCGGAAUUACUGGGCGUAAAGCGCACGUAGGCGGAUAUUUAAGUCAGGGGUGAAAUCCCGCAGCUCAACUGCGGAACUGCCUUUGAUACUGGGUAUCUUGAGUAUGGAAGAGGUUAGUGGAAUUGCGAGUGUAGAGGUGAAAUUCGUAGAUAUUCGCAGGAACACCAGUGGCGAAGGCGGCUAACUGGUCCAUAACUGACGCUGAGGUGCGAAAGCGUGGGGAGCAAACAGGAUUAGAUACCCCAGUAGUCCCUGUCUCUUAUAC
rnacentral:rRNA from 1 species